UACGUAGGCAGCAAGCGUUGUUCGGAAUUACUGGGCGUAAAGAGUGUGUAGGCGGUGCUCUAAGUUCGGUGUGAAAUCUCCCGGCUCAACUGGGAGGGUGCGCCGGAAACUGGGGUGCUGGAGCGCGGGAGAGGAAAGCGGAAUUCCUGGUGUAGCGGUGGAAUGCGUAGAGAUCCGGAAGAACACCGGUGGCGAAGGCGGCCUGCUGGGCAGUGGCUGACGCUGAGGCGCGACAGCGUGGGGAGCAAACAGG
rnacentral:rRNA from 1 species